UACGGAGGGUGCAAGCGUUAUCCGGAUUCACUGGGUUUAAAGGGUGCGUAGGUGGGUUGGUGAGUCCGUGGUGAAAUCUCCGAGCUUAACUCGGAAACUGCCGUGGAUACUAUCAAUCUUGAAUAUCGUUGAGGUAAGCGGAAUAUGUCAUGUAGCGGUGAAAUGCUUAGAUAUGACAUAGAACACCGAUAGCGGAGGCAGCUUACUAAGCGAUCAUUGACACUGAGGCACGAAAGCGUGGGGAGCAAACAGG
rnacentral:rRNA from 1 species